GGUUGCAACAUCCACCGAGUCAAGAGGGGGUGGGGAGGGGGUUUGGCAUAAACGCCUGGCUGCAGAAAUUUCUCUUUAUUUACAAAAUAACCAGCCAUCUCUGAGCACAUCUGUCAAUACCUUCUCCCACGCCUCUGUCAUCGGGCUCAGCAUAAUGCUCGCUGCCUCAAUGGAGGAAUUUGCCAGAGAAAUGCCAAGUCUAUACCUGCAGUGGCAUUGCCAAGUUCUCCCAGCCAUGCACUUUGACAAAAGAAAAAAAAUGUGGCUAAGGAAAAUGCUAGUCCUUAGAGAGCUGGCGUGGAGAACUGCGCAGUGAUACAGUCAAGUCUCCAACCUCAAGCAUCCUGAAGAUAUCGGUGGUGUCCCCGCCUCAGGACUCAGGGAGCGCGACCUUUGCCUGGGUGUUGAUACAUUGCUCCCAGACCAGGCAUCUGAAACACUAAAGCGGACUAUGGGACUGAGUUGUAUGCAGAUUUGAAAAAAAUAUCAAAGGAAAAAGAAUGUCACUUAUUCUGGUAGCUUGCGAUCUAGAAGAACAGACUGGAUGGCUGCCCCAUGGAAAUGUGGAGAAACACGAGUUCAUGUUCUGCUUGCUCAACUGCAUGGUUCAUGUUGACUUCUUGGAGGAGAUGGCUCUAAAGUGGAUGC
rnacentral:lncRNA from 1 species